AACUUAAUUUGAGCUUGUGGAAACUUCUUAAUGGCCGACGGUUCAAUGUUUCGGUCAUGUUGCUCAUGCGCUCGCCAUCAUCUGUCCCCCCGCCUUCUGCAAGGCUAAUAAUGGCCGAGGAAUGUUACAUCACUUCCUGUUUUUGUACUCAAGAGAAAACUGCGCACACACGCACGCGUAUUCCGAGGAACAACUUCUCCCACAAUGCAUUUCAUCUUCCAACAACUUUGUCAUGUUAACAAGUCGCUGUAGUACAGUACAGCUGCUUCUCGACUUCCUGUUAGUGCGACUCUACUUCCUGUUAAUGAAGACGACAAGUCACUUGAUGAAGCUCCAAAUUGAACGGCUGCUCGCGUCCCGUGAGAGAAUCGGGGUGAUCGGCGUGGGUGUGGAGGAGCGGCCCCGUUGCCAUGACGAUGAUGCACGAGAACAGGCGAGGGAGGGGGAAAGCCUUCACCGGCCAAUCACAGCCCACCUGGUGCAUGAUGGGAAAUAAAAGACGAAACCUUGCUC